CAGUUAAUAAAAACGCUUAGCAUCUUAACAAAAAUAAUAAAAUAAAGUAUUAAAAGAGUAGCUUCAGGGAUUGAUUUAAAAAUUUCUUGUAUCUAUGAAGAACUUUCAUUUCCACAUCUCUGUUGCGCUGUUAACAUCCGUGUAAUGUUACAUUUUCCUCACAUUAUAAGAAAUCAGCUUUAUAUGGAUUGUAGGCACAGUUGAAUAGAAGGAAUACGUGUGAUAAGUCAUGGAGAUAUUGGAGCUCAGACUUUUGCUGGUUGUCUUGGGGACUAUCUAUAUGCCGAUCCCAAUACACUGCGGUAGUAAUCAAUGCUUUCCUGUUGUAACCCCCGAUUGCCAUGAUAUUACAGACAACAACGAGAAUGGAACAGGGAACAUCCACCAAAAUAUCUGGACUAUGACGAUUAUUCCGGCCCUGGGAUGGGAUCCUCUUGGAUUUGGCAGCCAGAGCACAAUUCAUACACGAAACGCCUAACGUAUAGUCAAGUCCAGGUCAAAGGUUAUCCAGACUCUAGUACGAAAGGAAAAACUAACGCAGGAGACUCUACCAAGAAAGGUCUAGACCCCUCUUGGAUUUGGCAGCCAAAACACAAUUCAUUCACAAAACUCCUAAAUUUAAGUCAACUGCUAGUGGGCUUCAAAAGGAAACCUAACAGAGUAAAGAAAAGCCGUAGGCUUAGAAGCAUGAACCUUCCUAGAAGAUCAGUAAUAAGGAAGCUUUUAAGAGGAUAAGUUGACCCUACUUGAUAAAAUUUUGAUAAAACGACUGGUGCUCCCGUUUUCACAAAACGCAAGAUUGUUCCAUUUUCAAAAUGGAAGCAUUUUCCUCGCCGAAAUGAAAAGUAAAGUUAAGUUAACGUACAACAAAACUAAUCGUGAUUGCAAAAGAAAUGAGGGACGGACGGACGGACAUGGCUCAAUCGACUCGGCUAAUAAU